GACGAACGCUGGCGGCGUGCUUUAUACAUGCAAGUCGAACGAUGAAGUUCCUUCGGGAAUGGAUUAGUGGCGAACGGGUGAGGAACACGUGAGAAACCUGCCUUUCAUUCUGGGAUAACACCGGGAAACCGGUGCUAAUGCCGGAUACUCCGUCUUGGCGGCAUCGCCGAGCCGGGAAAAAAUUUUGAUGAAUGAUGGUCUCGCGGCCUAUCAGCUAGUUGGUGGGGUAAAGGCUCACCAAGGCGACGACGGGUAGCCGGCCUGAGAGGGCGGCCGGCCACACUGGGACUGAGACACGGCCCAGACUCCUACGGGAGGCAGCAGUAGGGAAUAUUGGGCAAUGGGCGCAAGCCUGACCCAGCGACGCCGCGUGAGGGAUGAAGGUCUUCGGAUUGUAAACCUCUUUCAGUAGGGAAGAAGCGAAAGUGACGGUACCUAAAGAAGAAGCACCGGCUAACUAUGUGCCAGCCGCCGCUGUAA
rnacentral:rRNA from 1 species